UAUCGGAUUGAUACUAAGCCAUGCGAGUCAUUGUAGCAAUACAAGGCAUACGGCUCAGUAACGCGUAGUCAACCUAACCUAUGGACGGGAAUAACCUCGGGAAACUGAGAAUAAUGCCCGAUAGAACAUUAUGCCUGGAAUGGUUUAUGUUCCAAAUGAUUUAUCGCCGUAGGGUGGGACUGCGGCCUAUCAGUUUGUUGGUGAGGUAAUGGCCCACCAAGACUAUUACAGGUACGGGCUCUGAGAGGAGUAGCCCGGAGAUGGGUACUGAGACACGGACCCAGGCCCUAUGGGGCGCAGCAGGCGAGAAAACUUUGCAAUGUGCGAAAGCACGACAAGGUUAAUCCGAGUGGUUUCUGCUAAAGGAACCUUUUGUCAGUCCUAGAAACACUGAUGAAUAAGGGGUGGGCAAGUUCUGGUGUCAGCCGCCGCGGUAAAACCAGCACCUCAAGUGGUCAGGAUGAUUAUUGGGCCUAAAGCAUCCGUAGCCGGCUCUGUAAGUUUUCGGUUAAAUCUGUACGCUCAACGUACAGGCUGCCGGGAAUACUGCAAAGCUAGGGAGUGGGAGAGGUAGACGGUACUCGGUAGGAAGGGGUAAAAUCCUUUGAUCUAUUGAUGACCACCUGUGGCGAAGGCGGUCUACCAGAACACGUCCGACGGUGAGGGGUGAAAGCUGGGGGAGCAAACCGGAUUAGAUACCCGGGUAGUCCCAGCUGUAAACCAUGCAAACUCAGUGAUGCAUUGGCUUGUGGCCAAUGCAGUGCUGCAGGGAAGCCGUUAAGUUUGCCGCCUGGGAAGUACGUACGCAAGUAUGAAACUUAAAGGAAUUGGCGGGGGAGCACCACAAGGGGUGAAGCCUGCGGUUCAAUUGGAGUC
rnacentral:rRNA from 1 species